AUUGAACGCUGGCGGCAGGCCUAACACAUGCAAGUCGAACGGUAGCACAGAGAGCUUGCUCUUGGGUGACGAGUGGCGGACGGGUGAGUAAUGUCUGGGAAACUGCCCGAUGGAGGGGGAUAACUACUGGAAACGGUAGCUAAUACCGCAUAACGUCUUCGGACCAAAGUGGGGGACCUUCGGGCCUCACACCAUCGGAUGUGCCCAGAUGGGAUUAGCUAGUAGGUGGGGUAACGGCUCACCUAGGCGACGAUCCCUAGCUGGUCUGAGAGGAGGACCAGCCACACUGGAACUGAGACACGGACCAGACUCCUACGGGAGGCAGCAGUGGGGAAUAUUGCACAAUGGGCGCAAGCCUGAUGCAGCCAUGCCGCGUGUAUGAAGAAGGCCUUCGGGUUGUAAAGUACUUUCAGUGGGGAGGAAGGCGAUGGAGUUAAUAGCUUCGUCGAUUGACGUUACCCGCAGAAGAAGCACCGGCUAACUCCGUGCCAGCAGCCGCCGUAA
rnacentral:rRNA from 1 species